rnacentral:tRNA from 1 species
GAGGGAAUAGCUCAGUGGUAGAGUGAGUACUAGCAUGCACGAGGUCCUGGGUUCAAUCCCCAGUUUCUCCA